GCAAUAAUCCCAAAAUGGAUCUUUUGACCUGACCAUUGUAUCUUCUUUCCUGUUUUUUAAUAAAUAAAAAAUAAUAAUAUAUAAGUAUACAAACGUUAGGCGUUCAUGCUCUUUAUAAAAAAUAAAACAAUAAGUUCAUAAUAAAUACACCAUAUGAAUAUCUUCAUUAAAUGUUUUAACAAACAUCACACCUAUUUAGUACAUACCAAAAAAAAAAUACAUGAUCUAAGUUUUCACAUUAAAUAAUUUAGCAAAGAUCACACCUACUUAAAAAAAACCCAAAGAAAAAUAUACUAUAUAAAUUUUUACAUUAAAUACUUCAACAAAUAUCAAAUCUACUUAAAUAUCAACAUUCCCAAUAUACACCAUAUAAAUUUUCAGUUUGAAUACUUCAACAAAUAUACUUAAAUAUCAACAUACCCCCAAAAAAAAAAAGUACCAUUAAAUAUCAAAUCUACUUAAAUAUAAACAUACCCAAAAUCUACUUAAAUAUCAACAUACCCAAAUCUACUUAAAUGCUUUAGCAAAUAUCAACAUGCCCAAAAAAAGGCACAUUUUCUUUUUUUUCAUUAAAUGGUUUAACCAUGGUUUAGUUAUUUUAUAACUAUGGUUAAAAAUAAGGUUUUAUACUUUAUAUUCUUGUUUUCAUUGAAAACAAAUAUCGUUUAAAAUAGCGAGAUGCCUGAAGACUAUGGGUAAUCUCUGGUUUCCUUCAAAACAGGGAGAGGCCUGGAGCUGAAAGGGGAGGAUGGGCUGGAGCUGAAAGGGAGAGUAUGGGUAAUCGCUGCUUCAUUGAGAACAAAGAGAGUCUUGGAGCUGAAUAGCUGCUCCAUUGAAAGCAGGGAGAUGCCUGGAGCUGAAAGGGGAGGAUCGGCUGGAGCUGAAAGGAUUAGAAAAUGAAAGGGGAAUUCUAUGUUAGAGAGAAGGGGUUUCUAUGUUAGAGAGGGAAAUUGAAAGGGGCUUCUAUCUGUGAGAGAGAUUGAAAGGGGGUUUUCUGUUAGAGAGAGAAAAUGAAAUAGAAAUUGAAAGGGGGUUUUCUGUUAGAGAGAGAAAAUGAAUGGGGUUCUUGGGGUUUUUCUCUGUAAUUGCAAGAGCAAGAAGAUGAAGUUUUUUUUUGAAAUUUGCAGGAGCAUGAAGAUUAUGAAAUUUGCAGGAGCAUAAAAUUAGGUUAGCUGAUUUUAAGAUUUUUUUUUUUUUUUAGUUUUUGUAUGUAUUUAGGGAUGCCUAAAUAUUGAAGGUUUAAUCUGAUUCUAUGUUUUUUUUUAAUGUAUAUUUUUGUAAUUUGCAGGAGUAAAAAAGUUUAAUGUAUGCAUAUAUUAUUCAUCACAGAAAUAUGGUUUUUGGAUUGAUAUGGUUUUCUUUACUUUGCAUCUAUAUUAUUUCUAUACACAAUAAUUUCCUCCAUAAAUUUACAAGCAAACAAUAUGUCAUUUGCAACAUAACUACGAAGCAUUGACAUGUUUAAGUUAAAAAGAAAAAAAAAAAAAUCAUACCUUCAAUCUGUAAAUGAGGUUUUGAAGAGGAAGAACGUGAUUUUAGCAUAAAC
rnacentral:lncRNA from 1 species